CCCCAUUACAACUCAGCCCUUCAACGAUUUGCUUUCCCUUCACUGCUCAAACCCUAGAGGCCGUCGAUUUGCAUCUCCAGCCGUCCGACGCCGCCGGAAACUACUUGUCAACUUCUUGAUUCGAAAGCUUAAGGUGUUGAUCAAAUCCACAUUGAAGAAAGAAGUCCUUGAAGUAAUUUGAAGAAGACCUUCAUCUAGCGCGGAGAGCAUAAUGGGUCAUUAAAAAAAAAAGGAGGAAAAACCUACAGUGAGGAGCUACAAGAAUUAAAUGAUGAUAAGCUGCAUGGAGUUACUGAUGCAGAGCUACAUGGACUUACUAAUGGAGAAGAAUGUCUUGUAGAUGUGCAGAAGAGCUACAUGGACUUACUAAUGGAGAAGAACGUCUUGUAGAUAUGCAGAAGAACAAGAGAGGACCUAUAUUGAUGGGUAAACUAACUGCAGCUGCAAGAUGGGGGAAAAAAGCAAAAAUUGAUUAUGAUCAUAUGGGGAGGUCA